UACAGAGACUGCAAGCGUUAUUCGGAUUCACUGGGCGUAAAGGGUGCGCAGGCGGCCAAGUGUGUUAGGCGUGAAAGCCCGGGGCUUAACCCCGGAAUUGCACCUAAAACUACUUGGCUAGAGCAUUGGAGAGGGUAGCGGAAUUCACGGUGUAGCAGUGAAAUGCGUAGAUAUCGUGAGGAACACCAGAGGCGAAGGCGGCUACCUGGACAAUUGCUGACGCUCAGGCACGAAAGCGUGGGGAGCAAAAGGG
rnacentral:rRNA from 2 species